rnacentral:rRNA from 1 species
UACGAAGGGAGCUAGCGUUGUUCGGAAUCACUGGGCGUAAAGCGCACGUAGGCGGAUGUGUCAGUCAGGGGUGAAAUCCCCAGGCUUAACCUGGGAACUGCAUCCGAUACUGGUCGGCUUGAAUCCGGGAGAGGGAUGCAGAAUUCCAGGUGUAGCGGUGAAAUGCGUAGAUAUCUGGAGGAAUACCGGUGGCGAAGGCGGCAUCCUGGACCGGCAUUGACGCUGAACAGCGAAAGCUAGGGGAGCAAACGGG